rnacentral:rRNA from 1 species
UCAAGCGAAUAAGUGCAUAUGGUGGAUGCCUUGGCGAUCACAGGCGAUGAAGGACGUGGUAGCCUGCGAAAAGCUACGGGGAGCUGGCAAACAAGCUUUGAUCCGUAGAUAUCCGAAUGGGGAAACCCACUGCGUAAGCAGUAUCCCUGGCUGAAUACAUAGGCCAGUGGAGGCGAACCGGGUGAACUGAAACAUCUCAGUAGCUCGAGGAAAAGAAAUCAACCGAGAUUCCGAAAGUAGCGGCGAGCGAAAUCGGAACAGCCUUUACGAUUUAGCCAUCCGUAUAGUCGAACAGUCUGGAAAGUCUGGCCGUAGCAGGUGAUAGCCCUGUAGACGAAAUGCGGGUGGUGGAACUAGGCGUAAGAGAAGUAGGGCGGGACACGUGAAAUCCUGUCUGAAGAUGGGGGACCAUCCUCCAAGGCUAAAUACUCGUGAUCGACCGAUAGUGAACCAGUACCGUGAGGGAAAGGCGAAAAGAACCCCGGAAGGGGAGUGAAAUAGAUCCUGAAACCGUAUGCAUACAAACAGUCGGAGCCUCUUUAUGGGGUGACGGCGUACCUUUUGUAUAAUGGGUCAGCGACUUACAUUCAGUGGCAAGCUUAACCGGAUAGGGAAGGCGUAGCGAAAGCGAGUCCGAAUAGGGCGUUCAGUCGCUGGGUGUAGACCCGAAACCAGAUGAUCUAUCCAUGGCCAGGUUGAAGGCACGGUAACACGUGCUGGAGGACCGAACCCACUAGUGUUGAAAAACUAGGGAUGAGCUGUGGAUAGGGGUGAAAGGCUAAACAAAUCUGGAAAUAGCUGGUUCUCUCCGAAAACUAUUUAGGUAGUGCCUCAAGUAUUACUGCGGGGGUAGAGCACUGUUAUGGCUAGGGGUCAUGGCGACUUACCAAACCAUGGCAAACUCCGAAUACCCGCAAGUACAGCUUGGGAGACAGAGCACCGGGUGCUAACGUCCGACUCAAGAGGGAAACAACCCAGACCGCCAGCUAAGGUCCCAAAUUAUCGCUAAGUGGGAAACGAAGUGGGAAGGCAUAGACAGUCAGGAGUUGGCUUAGAAGCAGCCAUCCUUUAAAGAAAGCGUAAUAGCUCACUGAUCGAGUCGUCCUGCGCGGAAGAUGUAACGGGCUAAGCGAUAAACCGAAGCUGCGGUGUGCACUUUUAGUGCACGCGGUAGGAGAGCGUUCUGUAAGCCUGCGAAGGUGGCUUGUGAAGGCUGCUGGAGGUAUCAGAAGUGCGAAUGCUGACAUGAGUAGCGAUAAAGGGGUGAAAAGCCCCCUCGCCGUAAGUCCAAGGUUUCCUGCGCAACGUUCAUCGGCGCAGGGUGAGUCGGCCCCUAAGGCGAGGCAGAGAUGCGUAGCUGAUGGGAAGCUGGUUAAUAUUCCAGCACCGUCGUACAGUGCGAUGGGGGACGGAUCGCGGAAGGUCAUCAGGUGUUGGAAGUCCCUGUUGCUGCAUCGAAGAUGGCGCUUAGGCAAAUCCGGGCGCGUGAAUCAAGGGUGUGGCACGAGCGAGCAUGUCUCGCGAAGUGAUUGGAAGUGGUUCCAAGAAAAGCCUCUAAGCUUCAGCUGUACGAGACCGUACCGCAAACCGACACAGGUGGACGGAUGAGUAUUCCAAGGCGCUUGAGAGAACUCAGGAGAAGGAACUCGGCAAAUUGAUACCGUAACUUCGGGAUAAGGUAUGCCCCGGUAGUGUAUGCGCCUGCGCGCAAGCAUGAUGGGUCGCAGAGAAUCGGUGGCUGCGACUGUUUAUUAAAAACACAGCACUCUGCAAAGACGAAAGUCGACGUAUAGGGUGUGACGCCUGCCCGGUGCCGGAAGGUUAAGUGAUGGGGUGCAAGCUCUUGAUCGAAGCCCCGGUAAACGGCGCCGUAACUAUAACGGUCCUAAGGUAGCGAAAUUCCUUGUCGGUAAAGUUCCGACCUGCACGAAUGGCGUAACGAUGGCCACGCUGUCUCCUC